CCACAGUAGAAUUUCUGAGUUUUGGAACAACCAAUGGCAAAUUCGUUAUUAAUCUCAAAUUCAUGGGCAAAUAUUAAAUACUUCAGCCAUUGAAGUUUUCAUUGAGAGCUUUUGCCUUCUCCCUGCAAUUUAAGGGUUGAAGAAGCUAGCUGAAACAGCAGAAUAAAUUGAAAAGCAAUUCGGUUGUGAAUCAUCAAAACUUUUCAUGGUGGGUGAUAGGCAAUUUACAUACAUAGUUUAUGGUAUCAGAAAUAGCUUUUUUACUAUUUUGACAAAGCCAUUAAGUUGUACAGAGGAGCCACUAAUUGUAUAGCAGGUUAGAUUUUCUGAAGACUGAUUUCUUUGACGGUUGGUACAUAUUAAUUGAAUAAAGACUAACCCUAGGCUAUGAGAAUAAACAUUUUAAUAAUUGUGGUAUCCUGGUUAGCUUGCACACACCUCGAAUAAUCCACCUAUGUUGGACUAAAUUUCCAAUAAUGUUAACCUUUUGAGGUAUGAAUUUUAACUUUAUCCAAUGAUGAAUGCUUCCAUAGAUCUUUUAUCUCAAGUGAAACUUUCAUGUUAUUGUUUUGAUACUAAUUGUAGUGGGGUGUUGUGUAUAAGCUGAGUACUGAUUAAGCUUCUCUGCCUAGGCUCCUCUUACUCGGUCAGCCAUCAGACCUUCUGGCUGCUCUCAGCUAAAUUGUUUGCCAUCAGUUGUCGUUUUGCUGGCAUUGUCUAUCGAAAUAAGUCAUUGGUAGUGGUUGUAGAGUAAACAUCUUAUUCUACCUUAAUUGAAACUAACCGAUAUUUCUGUUACUUUUCUCACAAUAAAGUUGCACUAUUAUCAAGUAAAGACAACCUUUCUGAUCUUAAACUGUUUGGGCAUCUUGCUGUCAUAUACAUCUGCAAACGAGAGUUGGUAUAUUGGAUGCCUCGUCCACUAUAUUCUGACAGCUGGUCUUGAGAAUUAGGAUCAUCAGUAUAACCUACCAAAAAAAAUAGUGUGACACAUUUCACUCAACGACAGCUAUUUCAGUCCGCUCUUUACAGUUACCAGCUGUUUUUAUAAUUCCCUUUUCUUGAAUCUUUGCUACAGAUUGUUGUAGCUUUUUAUGCGCAAAUAUUAUUAUAGUUAUAUAUGUUUAUAUAUCAUUACUUCCUAUGUCAACAAGCUUAGCUACUUGUGUUUAUGUAAAAAAAACAUUGUGUGUGCGUAUGAGAAGAAGUUUAGUUUCCUACCAUAAUAGAGUCGACAACAAAUUCUAGGACCUUUCUAAUUCACAGAUAUGAAAAGAGCCUACACAAGUAAAUAAAGAAAAACUAGGAUAUCACAGUAACUCUAGCAUUACUAAAUCUAAAAGAAUUAAGAAAGA